rnacentral:lncRNA from 1 species
CAUCUAUUGAUGGAUGAGAUUUCCAACAAGAAAUAGAGUUGAGAAGCCUGAGGAAAUCAAGCUCUGGUCAGACAACACUACAUGGCAACUCUUUGGAAAAAAAGCUUAUGGAGACCAUUCCCAUUGAUGGGUUGGAUGCAUUAGAUGAGCUAAGGGAGCAACGAGCAAGACCAAUCAAGGAUCUCAUCUUGCUUCCACUC